AAAAACGAAGAAAAGUGUGUUUUACUUUGCAAGGUAACAGCGAGAAUGGGAAAAGUGUGAAAGGUCGUACGAGAGGACAUGUCUUUCUAGAAACACCACUAGCACAUCACAUAUCAUGUACGGCAUAUCAGAUGAGCCACUAGUCUGUAGACUAGAUGUAGAGAUAGCAGCCAUGUUCCUGGAGCGCCAGAUAGUUUUAGUGAAAGCAACCCAGAGAUACUCGAUACGAGAUCGAUACGAAUUUCAACGCGGUGUGCUGUGAGAAAGGAGUGGCGAACGGUGGUGAUUCGAUGUUCGAUGUUCAAGUGAUACGGGGAACGAGAAACUUGUGAAGUGGUGAAAUUGUUCGUAUCUAAACCCGUUACGAACCCGUGAUGUGAACGCGAAUAUUGUGAAACAUCCUCACGAACCAUUUAACGAAAUUUUAAGUAAUAAUAAUAUUAAUAAUAUUAAUAUAUUAUUCGCGUAUUCGCGAAGAGACAUUAUAUUUGUACAUAAUUUAGAACGCUCCGUGUGUUGAACGCCAAUGUGACGAUUUUCAGAACA